rnacentral:tRNA from 1 species
AUGUUCUUAGCUCAGCGGAUUAGAGCAAUAGCCUUCUAAGCUAGAUGUCACAGGUUCAAAUCCUGUAGAACAUA